rnacentral:rRNA from 1 species
GUCCACACCGUAACGUUGGGCGCUAGGUGUGGGAUCCAUUCCACGGGUUCCGUGCCGCAGCUAACGCAUUAAGCGCCCCGCCUGGGGAGUACGGCCGCAAGGCUAAACUCAAAGGAAUUGACGGGGGCCCGCACAAGCGGCGGAGCAUGCGGAUUAAUUCGAUGCAACGCGAAGAACCUUACCUGGGUUUGACAUAUGCCGGAAAGCUCCAGAGAUGGAGCCCCUUUGUCGGUAUACAGGUGGUGCAUGGCUGUCGU